rnacentral:rRNA from 1 species
GACGAACCGUCCAAACGUUAUUCGGAAUCACUGGGCUUACAGAGUUCGUAGGCGGUCUGGAAAGUUGGGUGUGAAAUCCCUCGGCUCAACCGAGGAACUGCGCUUGAAACUACCAGACUCGAGGGAGAUAGAGGAAAGCGGAACUGAUGGUGGAGCGGUGAAAUGCGUUGAUAUCAUCAGGAACACCGGUGGCGAAGGCGGCUUUCUGGGCCAGUUCUGACGCUGAGGCGCGAAAGCGUGGGGAGCAAACAGG